rnacentral:lncRNA from 1 species
CAGUGGCAAGCCUCUCGGGAACUCAAAUUCUGACCAUUGGGAUCAGUGGUUCCCCUCUGGCUAGGGCUGGUUUAAAUACUCCCUCUGUAGGCAGGUGUCAGCUGAGUGCGGUCCGGUUUUCCUUUCUGCUAUAACAGGAAAGCACACUGAGUUCAAUGCCUCACAAUUGCUGGCUCUCCCUCUCUCCAAAGCACAGAAAUGCUCUUUGCACCACACCAUCACUGCCAGGGGAUGGAGGAGGGGUUGCACUGGUGAUUCAAGACUGUCCUACUUCUUCAGUGCCUCCUUCAGUGAUAUGAAGCCAAAACCAGACCAGGAAACUUUUUCAGCUUUGUGACUGAGAGACAGCCAGCCUUUCAGCUGGGUGAGCUUUCCAGUUGCAUGAGAAAGAGCUUCAUAAGAAACCACCUACACUCUUCCCAUCCAAAAAAAUAGAAAAAAAGAAAGAGAAGAAUAUAAAAAGAAUUGCUUCUCCUCCAAAAAUACAGCUCCUAGGUGCUGCUGAAAUGAGUGAGCAGGGUAAUUGAUGAGAGUUUGGGAGCUGGGAGAGCAGUGAGCUGAUGCUUGGAGCCUUGCCGCGAUCGGACACAGUAGGUUGAUUUUCCCCUCAACAUGCAGGACCAUACCUAACGAUUCCUUACAACAAAACAGAAUACAAAGUAAAGAGGAUUUGACACACAGCAAUUCCUACCAUCCUCUUGGCCCCCCAGCCCGGGAUAUUGAAGCCAAAGUUGAAUUUGAAAAGCACAUUUUCCCAAACUCCUAUUUUAAAAGCAGACACUAUCUUAAUGGCACAGUGAUAACAAUUAUAUUCAGUUAUUUUUUCUUCGAUCCUGCCAAAGAGAUGCUUGGGAAAAGCAAAGAUUUUUAACAUCUGGCUUGCCUGAACAGAAUUCGUACUUCAGUGAAGAAUGCUACAUUAUGAAGACUUCUCUUUCAAUUCUUUUAGUUUCUGGAUAUCAAUGAAGAUAUCACCACUAAUGAAAGUGGUAAAUCUGGGGAAGAUUACUCAGAGUGGCAAGAUUGCAACAUUUUUCCCAGGGAUUUUUAGGGACCCUCUCAACUAAACAAAUAGCAGUAAAGAAGAAUCACAUUUUAAAAUAUCCUUCUAAUGUACUCCAUUUUAAAUAUAUACACCUACUGUGUACCCAUGAAAAUUUUAAAAAAAAUUUUAAGUAUCCUUCCAGAGGUUUUGUGGAAAGGUGGGGUUUUAUUUUCUAAUAUCACAAAUAUUACUUGUUGAUUCAAGCCAGUCAUCUAGCCAGUUAUAGCAACUUCUCAAAGCUAUUUUAGGAAGAAAUUUUUGCUUCUUGUCAUCUUCCCACCAAAGAUAAGUUCUGGAGAAGUUCAUACGCUAUUAACUAUGACAAUAACUGAGACCUCAAUUUACAUUUUUCUCCUUGCUCCAAACUCAUUCCUGGGUCACCAGAAUAGACAUAGAUAUGAAUGUGUAGGCUCCAUGAGGACCACACCAGGCAGGAUACAAAAACACUGGAGUGUAUCAGGAGAAGUGAUUUGCCCUCCUCCUACCUGCCAAAGGUGGUGAUUUAGAAGUGAUUUAGGAGUAAGACUGGGGAGACUUCUUGAAGACAUCUUGGGAUAUUAGAGUCAUUCUAUUCACACCCUCGCUCCUUGAGAAAGGGGAUCAUUUGCCAUGGUCCCUCAUAGAGAGGAUCCCUAGAGACAAUCCCGCAAAGCUCAAGGGUACAUCUGAACAUAGGGACUGGCCCCAGUUUCUCGUUUGGAGUGUGCCAAGUGACAGAACCCAUUGGCACAUGCCAAGCCCCACGCAAAGGCCACCAGAGAGCUUUGGACAUAGGCAGAGGGCCUCAGAAAGGGGGGCAGAACAAGUCAGGAGAGGGCACAAAUCACCUCCCAGUUCUUCAAACACCCAAGGUGGUUGUAAUAGGGAGUCUAAGAUUCUUGGGGCCCGAGAGGCCCCAUAAGAUGGCUGACUGGCUGGUUGAAUUCUAAGCAAACUUCCGUUCCCUGGACACACAGGAAGCAAAGGGACUCAGUAGUAAUAUUAGUCUCAGGCUAAAGGGUCCCCUGUCCUGGACCCCAUGCUUUACAGGGUCCUGCCUUUGCCAACAAAUACAUUUACUAAAGAACACGCAUUGCUGCCAUUCUGGGUCUGAGAUCAGAGCUCAGAGCUGGCACAGACCAACCUAAAACUCUAAAUAUUUGCUCUCCCAGCUGACAUUAUGCAGGCCCCAGGGAAAUCUCCACUUGCAUUAGAUCCUGUAAAUAAAAGAUGUUAUAUGCAAAACUCUGAAGGUUUAUGGGCUGUGCUGCUACAGAGGCUGCUUUGGAGUGUGAAGAGGAUAGCAGUAUUGUUCAUAUUAUGCUUAAAUAUGUAUAUAUGUAGGUUUAGUUAUAUGCCUGAAGCAUAAUUCCUGUUCUUUACUAUGGCAAUUUGAUGGACAUUAAAUCCUAGAAUUGCAAAUAGUUUUUUUUUUAUAAAAUAGGCUUUUUAAUUUUAAUAAAUCUUGAAUAUUUGACAUGAAAUCUUAAUUAUUCAGAAAUGUAGGAAAAGUAAAUUUAUUUAUAUUUGUUUACUCCAAUUUAAAUUUUCUUAAUGCAUUCAAAUUGCAUAUAU